UGGUAUAAAAAGAAAAUGAAGAAGGGACUGCUUCUGUUGCUUCAGGGGAGCGCCAGCUUUACCUUCACCUUGGACUUUGUUUCCUGGAUUCCAGUGCAGCAUCUUCAGCCUCCAGCAUCGACCCUUCAUCCUCCUGAUGUGGAUUUGCAUGGUACACUACAGUGAGCUCUAGGCCUUUGACUGCAUUCAUCAGAUCUCCAGUGCACUGACAGAUCUUUUGCACUCUUCCACACCCAACUCUAAUGUUUUGCCUCAGCAAUGAGAGAAGUAACUAAAACACAAACUAGUAGAGAAUCGAAUCUCUGACAGAUGUCCUGAUGUGGAAGACUUUCAGAAGUGAAACCAUGUGAUUAAAAGAGCCGAGUACAAAACUGUAUGCUUAUUAUGAAAAUUCUCACUCAGUCUACAAUUUCUUACAGAAUUUCCAGUAACUGGAUUGGGAAGGAAGAGUUAUGUAAAUUCACUUAGGGAAGAGGAAAGAGGAGAAUAAAGAAAAAGCUACUCCCUGAAAACAUCACAUCCACAAAGAGAAGGCACUCAUCCUAUGCACUUUUGGAUAUCUAUGUAUCAUUCUACCCCAACCACCCGGAU